CACCGUUUCAGUGGCAUUUAAAUCCCCGGCGCUCCUCAGUCUAGGUGACGCGCGGUCGCCCCCCCAGGCUGCCCGGGCCGCGGCGGCUGCUCCGGCCGCUGCCAGAGCUGACUUGGAGCACUGGG
rnacentral:lncRNA from 1 species